rnacentral:rRNA from 1 species
GACGAACGCUGGCGGCGUGCUUAACACAUGCAAGUCGAGCGGUAAGGCCCUUUCGGGGGUACACGAGCGGCGAACGGGUGAGUAACACGUGGGUGACCUGCCCUCAGCUCUGGGAUAAGCCUGGGAAACCGGGUCUAAUACUGGAUAUGACUCCAUGACGCAUGUUGUGGGGUGGAAAGCCUUGUGCGGCUGAGGAUGGGCCCGCGGCCUAUCAGCUUGUUGGUGGGGUGAGGCCUACCAAGGCGACGACGGGUAGCCGGCCUGAGAGGGCGACCGGCCACACUGGGACUGAGACACGGCCCAGACUCUUACGGGAGGCAGCAGUGGGGAAUAUUGGACAAUGGGCGCAAGCCUGAUCCAGCGAUGCCGCGUGUGUGAAGAAGGCCUGCGGGUUGUAAAGCACUUUCAGUAGGGAAGAAACCCGAAGUGCUAAUAUCACUCGGUCUUGCGUUACUUACAGAAGAAGCACCGGCUAACUCCGUG